AUUGAACGCUGGCGGCAGGACUAACACAUGCAAGUCGAACGAGUGGCGGACGGGUGAGUAAUGUCUGGGAACAUGCCUGAUGGAGGGGGAUAACUACGGGAAACGGUAGCUAAUACCGCAUACCAUCAGAUGUGCCCAGAUGGGAUUAGCUGGUGGGUGGGGUAACGGCUCAACAAGGCGACGAUCCCUAGCUGGUCUGAGAGGAUGACCAGCCAAACUGGAACUGAGACACGGUCCAGACUCCUACGGGAGGCAGCAGUGGGGAAUAUUGCUCAAUGGGCGCAAGCCUGAUGCAGCCAUGCGGCGUGUAUGAAGGAGUCCUUAGGGUUGUAAAGUACUUUCAGCGGGGAGGCGUUACCCGCAGAAGAAGCACCGGCUAACUCCGUGACAGCAGCCGCGGUAAUUC
rnacentral:rRNA from 1 species